UACGAAGGGGGCUAGCGUUGUUCGGAAUUACUGGGCGUAAAGCGUAUGUAGGCGGAUCGUUAAGUCGGGGGUGAAAUCCCGAGGCUCAACCUCGGAACUGCCUUCGAUACUGGCGAUCUUCGAGUCCGGGAGAGGUGAGUGGAACUCCGAGUGUAGAGGUGAAAUUCGUAGAUAUUCGGAAGAACACCAGUGGCGAAGGCGGCUCACUGGCCCGGUACUGACGCUGAGAUACGAAAGCGUGGGGAGCAAACAGG
rnacentral:rRNA from 1 species